ACGACAUAUGUAUACAAGCCUCUAAGAGUACAUAAAUGUCAUAAAGGUCGAGACAAAGUCCCGCCAUACCAAACAAUACAUGUCUAAAUCAUACUAGCCAAACAAGCAACUCCGAAGCAAAUGGAGCACACCAACAUCUUUCGCUGAGCUGAUAGCCUACUUGGAGGGCUUUCGACCUGUUUAUCGGGACCUGCAGGCAUGAAACGCAGCGUCCCCAAGCAAAAGGGAUGUCAGUACGAAAAAUGUACCGAGUAUGUAAGGAACAUAAAUAAGUACAUAACAAACAAGGAAGAAAUAUAGAGUACUUGACUCAACUUGUAAGUCUGAAUAACUCUGUAAAUCAUGAUAUACUUUUAGCGUCAUGCAUAUGUGUAUGAAUGUCAUGUCAUGCAUAGGUACAUGUUUCAUAACAUCAUAAGCCUCUGAGGGCAUCCCAUUGUAUCAUAUCGGCCACUGUGGGUAAAAUCAUCAACGUAUAUUAGCUUAUUAGGUGGUGGUGCGUAUAUAAUGCCAUAACCUUUCCCAUAUCCCAUAUGCAUAUAUAUACAUACAUAUAUAUGCGUAUAUAACGCCAUCUAGUCACGGGUCAAUGUACAUGAUUACAAUGUACGUUAAUAAAAUCUUUUGGAUGUCAAGACCAUUUUGCCUUUGAGUAAUAUCAUAAAGUAAACUCUUUUCAACUUUCGUAUUUUGUUUUAGACCCAUAAACAGAUGAUAAAAUAUUAUGACACAUGGAAAUUCAAGAACAUAGAUAUCUCUAAUACUUCUAUGAAUAGAAUUAUUUAAGGAAUUUGUGCAUUUACACGUUUCGUUCAUAUUGUAUGGAUCAUGCCAAAAGAAAGAAGGGAUAACCUUCAUAUACCUGAGCCGAUUCUCUUCACAAUCCCUCUAACACACAUCAAUUGCGAUAAAACACGUUACAGCGGAUUGAAGUAGUGAAAACAAUCCAUGUAAUAUUCUUGAGAAAUUUUGCACCGUGCUCUCUUAGAAUCGCAAUUCCCGUUGCUAUUACCUUACAAAGUCUCGUAUGAAAUUGUUGUAGUAUAAGAAAAGGAAUCUUAGAAAAUCUCAUCUGAUCCCUUGCCAAGCUCAAAUCUUCAUCUAUGUAAAAAAUUUCUCCAUUAUUUUAAUAUGUGUUUGAGAUUAUGUUGGUGUAUAGCUUGAAUUAUAUUGAAUUUAAGCUUUUGCCAAUUUCAGCAAUCAGUGGGCUUGUGUCGUCCAAAACAUCUUGAGAUAAGCUUCCCUUUUUAGGCUUUAAAUGGUUGGGCCCCACAUGAUAAUGACUAAGCUACAUACUACAAAUAAAUGUGCCACCUUUCUCUCGUAGUAUAAGAGUCAUAAUGUGGAAUUAAGGGGCUGCCACGUUAGUAGCAGGGGGAAAGGAUUAAUCUUAUCCAAAUAUAUCUCCAAUUAAUUAGGUAAUGUCCCGUUACCUGGUAAUGAAUCAAUUACCCUUAAAAUUGAGAAUUAUUCCCACUUACUUAAAAUAUUACUCACUUUUCAUAUACCAUAUACACCUUACUAUUAUGGUCAUGUGGUACCUUGUAUGGUAGUAGUCCAUAAAUACCGAGUAUUUUAGCUCGAGCCAUAUUUUAUCCCAACAUGCCAAUAUUGGACGAAAAUUCAUUUUAUUUUACUUGCUUCCCCAUUCACCUUUACGAAUUUACUUAUUACUUGUUUGAAAUAGCAUAAUCCUUAUAAUCUUCAAAUAAUCUUUUCCUUGGACUAAUGUCAGUUACCUUAUGGAAAAUUCAACGUACAUCAUUACAGGGUGCAACAUCGUCGUAAUGUAGUAUUGCAGAACGUGGCAUCUCACUUUCUGGCUCUCAUAAAUUUAUUUAUCGCGUUUUUUUGUGUACGAAAAUAUGGGGAGUAACAUCAUUCCCCCCUUUGGAACAUUCGUCCUCGAAUGUUGACUGAUGCGCUUAUUGUCCUCAUAUCCCAUAGCUCUUGCGAAUACUUUAAUAGUCCUUUUGCCAUCUAGGCAACUGUUCUGUGAAUAAAUCAAAAGGCCAGGGUAUUCCCCCCUUUAGGCCUCUUUCCCACGCUAUGACUUGUGAUCGAAUUUCUUCCAAUCUCAUAACUGUUGCUACCUCAAACCAUGUAGCCUCUACGAUACUGACUUUGUCAGUAUGCCUAUACAACUCUUCUCUCCUUUUUUCUCUAGCUUUUAGCAAAUCUCUAGGCCUUACUUUGUCAAAAUAUACAAGGCUUAAUAGGAUGCCUCUCCAGGUAUCUAUAGGUGUACUGAAGUUCUUCGCUUGAUAAUUUGUAGAACUUGUGAAUAUGACUAUAUCUUAUUUCAUUGACCUAGUUAUCCAUACGUAUGACUUUACUGCAUCUACAUAUGUCAUAAUAUACCAUAAUCCUUAUUUCUAUUUAUCAUUACUGAGGUCUGCGACUAACUUCAAGUUACUCUCGUUACUUAUCCUUAAGACUGAUUGUCUAAUAUCAGCUCAUACUGUUGAACUUUUAUCCAUCUAUUGUUGUUUUACCUUAAUGUUGAUCCUUCAUCUACCACUGAUAAUUUGAUCUCUUAUGUAAUACCGCCCAGCAGAGACAUCCGGAGUAAUUAGAAUGAUCCACCUAGGGGUGAUACUAUACUUCCAUAAGUGUAUUUUAUAGCAUUCCAACGUGACUCACCUUAUAUGGGUAUUUUAGCCCCUUGUAAUUCAUGCAAUCCUCUUCACUUCAUUACUCAAUUGAAGGCCCAAAUGUCAUACCUUAUCUAUCAUAAUUACGUCUCUAUUCUACUACCAGAGCAACAUUCCAUCCCUUUUAAAUGCUACUAGUCUUAGACUCCUUUGAGUUCAUUCUGGCUAUACUAAGCCUUUUAUAACUUAGAGAAUCCAUCAGCUCUCUUAUUUUCAUGAGCUUAAUCCCAAGAACUUAUCCAUUCUUGUCACCUUUUCACUUACCUUUUCUUAUCCUUACUCAUAUCUUCCUAUAACCUUGUCGAUCUACCAUACUUUAGCUUGCGACCUACACAUAUCUAUUCACAUUUGUUCGUAACCUUCCCUCAACUUGCUUGCACCAUAGAUUUACUUAUGUUAUUCUGGAACAUCAAGCGAGACAUCGCAUCGUCUCUAACUCUUCUUUUACUCUCUAAUUAGACCUUUCGGUACUUAGAAACCAUAUGCUAGAAGGUAUGCCAUCGACGAUGCCGCUAUCACUCAUGGUUAUUGAAUCCUCGUGCUUCUAGCUUUCUAUCUGAAGUUUGGACUAUUCAUUUUCUUCUGCAUUUGAGUAUCUCGUACGUUCUUCACCUUUACCUUACUUACUUAAAAUCUCGCAUCAUAUCUUCUUUCUCUUUCAUAACCUCCCUUCCACAUAGGUAUGAUUCACUCCACAACUUGAAGCUUUAUUAUAAUACUACAAUCCGGUAGGAGCUUCUUACUUACUUUUUAUGAGGCUGUUACUUUUUUAACUGACUUUUUUGUAGAGCUGUUAUAGACUAUAGUUGUUGUACUAUCUCUCUUGUACUCUGAUUUCAAGGGAGAUCCUGCAAUGUUCUCAAUCAAGAUGUUUCUAUUUUAUAGGUCCAAUAAUCAAACUCCUGAUUACUUAGUUGAUGUAACUCUUCAGUUUCCUCUUCCCUCCGAUCAACCUUUAUAUAGGCUUAAGCUAUCUUCUGAUAUAUGGUUCAUGGUAUUAGUUAUCCUAUUUAGCCUUUCAUGGGCGCUGAGGAACAUGCAUGAUACAAUCCUUUAAUAAUUUAAUCUUUCGUUUAUGUCCCAGGCUCAAUUCUUUCUUUUAACGUACACCAGCAUCUUCUACGGUUGUAUAUGUUGCAUGUAUAAAACUCUGAACCCUUAAGUGCGUUCAUAAUGUAACCAACUCUGGAUCAUUGAUCGAAUAAUUUCUUUCAUUCCAUUUUAGCUUUCUUUCAACGUAAGCUAUUACUUUUUCUGGUCCUUCUACCGCCUUGUUGCGUCCAUAUUUAGCUCAUCUUAGUGCCCAUACAUGCCAGAUAUUUUGUGCAACUCAUAUGAUCUCGAAUAUUACUUUUAAUUUUUUACUUCACGUUCAUUAACCACAGUAGGUGCCACUUUCAUUCGAAGUACUUACAAUGUUGUUGUGAGGCUGUUGUUACAAGACCAUUUCCUCUUUAGGUCACUGUGUUUAGGUUGAAGCCUUCUUCCUUAUUUCCUUGGCUAGUCUUUUAGUGUAGUACUUAGGGAAGACGCUCUAAGUCUUGUAAAGCUGUGAGCUUAUUACAUUGUAUUCCCGAUAGAAUUUUUGAUGUUCGUGUUCACUUGUAAUUAUCCUUACUCACUUACCCCAUGCCCUUCUGCUCGUCAGGUUGCUUCUGAACUUAAAUUUUGACUGUUUCCUAGUGGCAUUCUCCUUUAUUUCCAUAGUUCUCAUACGGUACCUUUAACUACCCCAACUCCUAUCUGAAUAUUUCUCGAGAAUCACGAUAUCAUUAUUAUCGAGACUGGAUUCACUAUGUUUGUCUUGCACGAUCUAUUUAUUUGACUGUACCUUCUUGUCAAGCUAUAACUAGGCUCUUCCUAAAUCAACUGCUAACUACUCGUUUGUCCAUUCUCAUAUCAAUAUUUCGCGUUAUCUUUCUAGGGGUUAUUUCCCUUGCCUUAACUUACGUCUGGCACUAGCUCCUUAUUUAUCAAUAACAUUCCGAGCAGGAACCCUUACUUCCUUUCCUUGACGCCGUGUUUGCAUCAUGUUCUGGAAUUGCAUCAUACAUGUAGAAUUUGGGUAAGUGCAAUCUUAUCCCUUUCUCAGUCUUAUUGCAUUUUUCCUUUAUUAUUCCAUAGUUACUACAACCACUUAAUUCCGACUUAAUGCCAUAUCACUCCAUAUUCCCCCUUUAGGGAAGCACUAUGAUUUAGCUCUAUGAUGAUCUACAUAUAUAUGUUUUAUCUUUUUGGCAUCUUUUCACAUCAUCGAUGACUCAUACCCGCCUUUUGGUAAUCCUUCUGCACUAAGGAUAACAAAAUUCCUUACUCACGAGGGUGACACUUAGUGUAACUGGCACACUUAGUCCUUUAAGCUUAACUUUACUUACAUUGCUUGAUUUAGGAAAGCGUCUUCCUGAAUGACCUUUAAGGGUUAUUCUUCUAUCGUCCAGUCUUUUAUUGCCAGAACGCAAUAUGAAAUUCUCAUGAUGCUGCCUAUUAUCAAAUCACUCAAUCCCUAAUUCAUGUUUACUUUAUCUUGUUCACCAGCCCAUACUGAUAUCUAUUUUUCUGGGGUCUAGCUUUUCCUAUUGGUAAUCACGUUAGAGUCAUGAACUUAUUUCUUGAAAUGAGGAUAUGACUUCAUGACCUAUACUCUUUUGUUUUCUUGAGGCCUAUCACCUCUCGUCUCUUCCUUCACCUAACUAUGGACCCGGUAAUACCAUCUUUUUUUUAUUUACCGUUGUCAUCCAUGUAUCACAUAUUACUCAUAAUUCUUCCUUAUAUCUCUUCUUAUUACUCUGCUAAUAUUUCUACCUAUUCAUUUCUUGUGAAAACUUCAGCAUGGCAUUCUUUUGCUUUUUUUUUGCGCCCCUUGCUCCAUCCAUUGGUUCUUCGGGUUGCCUAUUAUUUUUUCUCUACUAAGGACGGGAACCACAUUAAGGUAAUAUUUAUCCCUCCAAGGCUUUCAGUGCCUAUCCUUGUAGUACCCAUAUCUAGUUGUACUAUUUUAGAGUGCACCUUCUGGGUAUCUCACAAGGAGAUAUAUAAGUACCUUUAUAAUAUUAUUCAGAAAUGUCAACUAACACAAAAAAUCCAUUACCAUUUUGGGUUAUUCUAACCCCAGCCGGAUCCUGAUAUCCUUUCUUGUCUUAAACCAUAUCUACUAGCUCCCGUAGGUCAUAACUGAGAUCGGUAUGGCCAAUUGUACAUACCUUUGUUACUAUCGAAGGAAACUCAAAGGCUUAUAUUCCUCUGCUUGAAUUGUAAAUACUAUUAAUCUUCAUCAGCUGGGCGCCUCGUACUCUUCUUUAUCUUGCUUCUUUUGCUUGUUGAAACUUGUAUUUAUCUUCUGAAUCUCUCAUUAUCUUUCACCAUUAAGGUGGAUAGGUAUUCUUUCCUCAAGACUACUUAUCAAGAGGCUUACACGUUUCAGUAUGCACAUGAUCUGCUGAAGACCUCACAUUUACUUAUCAUAAGCAUGAUACAAAGUCGAGUUCGUCUAAUUCAACACUUCCACACCUAUAUCUCUUAUCGAUCAUCUUUCUGAAUGUAGGCAUGGUCUUAUUAUGAUUAAAAAUAGAAGUUCGAAAUUUGAAUUCUUAUAAGUGAGCUCUACCACACGAUCUAAAGUAAGAAGAAAGAGUAACAGUCCUAAAUGCCCUGUAUCCUCCUGCUUAUAAGUGUGGUGCAUGACACACCUAUAAACACGACUCUACUAGACACAACUUGUAGACUCCCUAAGACAGAACUGCUAUGAUACCACUUUUGUCACGACCCAAACCGAUGGCCCGCAACGGACACCCGGUACCUUACUCAACCGAGCACCAACGUAACGUAUCUUUCUUAUUACAUUAUCAUAUACACGUGACAUACGGACCUAAUAGGCCUACAUAAUUAUUUAUAAACUUAAAACAUAGGGCAACAAGGUCGUACAAUCUUUCAUGUACACGACAUAUGUAUACAAUCCUCUAAGAGUACAUAAAUGUCAUAAAGGUCGAGACAAAGUCCCGCCAUACCAAACAAUACAUGUCUAAAUCAUACUAGCCAAACAAGCAACUCCGAAACAAAUGGAGCACACCAACAUCUUUCGCUGAGCUGAUAGCCUACUUGGAGGGCUUUCGACCUGUUUAUCGGGACCUGCAGGCAUGAAAUGCAGCGUCCCCAAGCAAAAGGGAUGUCAGUACGAAAAACGUACCGAGUAUGUAAGGAACAUAAAUAAGUACAUAACAAACAAGGAAGAAAUAUAGAGUACUUGACUCAACUUGUAAGUCUGAAUAACUCUGUAAAUCAUGAUAUACUUUUAGCGUCAUGCAUAUGUGUAUGAAUGUCAUGUCAUGCAUAGGUACAUGUUUCAUAACAUCAUCAGCCUCUGAGGACAUCCCAUUGUAUCAUAUCGGUCACAGUGGGCAAAAUCAUCAACGUAUACUAGUUGAUUAGGUGGUGGUGCGUAUAUAACGCCAUAAACUUUCCCAUAUCCCAUAUACAUAUAUAUGUGUAUAUAACACCAUCUGGUCACGGGUCAAUGUACAUGAUUGCAAUGCAUGAAAAGUACGUUAAUAAAAUCUUUUGGAUGUCAUAAGACCAUUUUGUUUUUGAGUAAUAUCAUAAAGUAAACUCUUUUCAACUUUCGUAUUUUUUUCUGCUACCCAUGAAUAGAUGAUAAAAUAUUAUGACACACGGAAAUUCAAGAACAUAGAUAUAUCUAAUAAUUCUAUGAAUAGAAUUAUUUAUGGAAUUUGUACAUUUGCACGUUUUGUUCGUAUCGUAUGGAUCAUGCCAAAAGAAAGAAGGGAUAGCCUUAACAUACCUGAGCCGAUUCUCUUGACAAUCCCUCUAACACACAUCAAUUGCGAUAAAACACAUUACGGCGGAUUGAAGUAGUGAAAAAAAUCCAUGUAAUAUUCUUGAGAAAGAUUGUACCGUGCUCUCUUAGAAUCGCAAUUCCCGUUGCUAUUACCUUAGAAGUCUCGUAUGAAAUUGUUGUAGUAUAAGAAAAGGAAUCUUAGAAAAUCUCAUCUGAUCCCAUGCCAAGCUCAAAUCUUCAACUAUGAAAAAACUUUCUCCAUUAUCUUAAUAUGUGUUUGAGAUUCUGUUG
rnacentral:lncRNA from 1 species